UGCCAGACUCCUACGGGAGGCAGCAGCGAGGAAUAUUGGUCAAUGGGCGAGAGCCUGAACCAGCCAAGUCGCGUGAGGGAGUACUGCCCUAUGGGUUGUAAACCUCUUUUGUCGGGGAGCAAAAGCCGGACGUGUCCGUCUGUGAGAGUACCCGAAGAAAAAGCAUCGGCUAACUCCGUGCCAGCAGCCGCGGUAAUACGGAGGAUGCGAGCGUUAUCCGGAUUUAUUGGGUUUAAAGGGUGCGUAGGCGGACUGGAAAGUCAGCGGUAAAAUCGAGAGGCUCAACCUCUUUCCGCCGUUGAAACUGUCGGUCUUGAGUGGGCGAGAAGUAUGCGGAAUGCGUGGUGUAGCGGUGAAAUGCAUAGAUAUCACGCAGAACUCCGAUUGCGAAGGCAGCAUACCGGCGCCCGACUGACGCUGAGGCACGAAAGCGUGGGUAUCGAACAGGAUUAGAUACCCGAGUAUA
rnacentral:rRNA from 1 species